GACGAACGCUGGCGGCGUGCUUAACACAUGCAAGUCGAACGAUGAACCCGGAGCUUGCUCUGGGGGAUUAGUGGCGAACGGGUGAGAAACACGUGAGUAACCUGCCCUGGACUCUGGGAUAAGCGUUGGAAACGACGUCUAAUACCGGAUAGGACCUUGGAUCGCAUGAUCUGGGGUGGAAAGUUUUUUCGGUCUGGGAUGGACUCGCGGCCUAUCAGCUUGUUGGUGAGGUAAUGGCUCACCAAGGCGUCGACGGGUAGCCGGCCUGAGAGGGUGACCGGCCACACUGGGACUGAGACACGGCCCAGACUCCUACGGGAGGCAGCAGUGGGGAAUAUUGCACAAUGGGCGAAAGCCUGAUGCAGCAACGCCGCGUGUGGGAUGACGGCCUUCGGGUUGUAAACCGCUUUUAGUAGGGAAGAAGGGCUUCGGCUUGACGGUACCUGCAGAAAAAGGACCGGCUAACUACGUG
rnacentral:rRNA from 1 species